GAUCACAAUUUCAGCACGACAUCCAACAAUUUGAAAUGAAAGGUUUUAUGUAAUUUUUGCAUAGCUUUGUAUUAAUGCCUAGAGGUUUUCGUUGUUAAUUUGUGUUAGAAUUUAUCAAACUAAUUAGGUAUUGGGUUGAAUAUAUUAUAUAAAAAAAGUAAAGUUUUGAUUUCUAUCCUAAUUCAUACUUCCAAAAAAAUGAAAAAUGCUUUCUAAAUCUAAAUUAGAAUAAUAAUUAGAAAUAUCUUGAUUGAUCUUUCUAUAUAAAAUUUUUUCAUUCAAUGGAAAUAUUCU
rnacentral:lncRNA from 1 species